rnacentral:rRNA from 1 species
UGGGGAAUAUUGCACAAUGGGCGGAAGCCUGAUGCAGCGACGCCGCGUGGGGGAUGAAGGCCUUCGGGUUGUAAACUCCUUUCGACAGGGACGAAGCUUUUGUGACGGUACCUGUAUAAGAAGCACCGGCUAACUACGUGCCAGCAGCCGCGGUAAUACGUAGGGUGCGGGCGUUGUCCGGAAUUACUGGGCGUAAAGAGCUCGUAGGUGGUUUGUCGCGUCGUCUGUGAAAUUCCGGGGCUUAACUCCGGGCGUGCAGGCGAUACGGGCUGACUUGAGUGCUGUAGGGGAGACUGGAAUUCCUGGUGUAGCGGUGAAAUGCGCAGAUAUCAGGAGGAAAACCGAUGGCGAAGGCAGGUCUCUGGGCAGUAACUGACGCUGAGGAGCGAAAGCAUGGGUAGCGAACAGG